UGGGGAAUAUUGCACAAUGGGCGCAAGCCUGAUGCAGCCAUGCCGCGUGUGUGAAGAAGGCCUUCGGGUUGUAAAGCACUUUCAGCGAGGAGGAAGGGUAGUGUGUUAAUAGCACAUUGCAUUGACGUUACUCGCAGAAGAAGCACCGGCUAACUCCGUGCCAGCAGCCGCGGUAAUACGGAGGGUGCAAGCGUUAAUCGGAAUUACUGGGCGUAAAGCGCACGCAGGCGGUUUGUUAAGUCAGAUGUGAAAUCCCCGCGCUUAAC
rnacentral:rRNA from 1 species